rnacentral:snoRNA from 1 species
UUCCUUUUAGAACACUUGCUGGGUCUGCUCUGUGGCCUGGGAAGCUGUCAGAGAAGGGCAGAGCAGUCCAUUGUCACUGUUGAUGAGAUGGCAGUGGGAUGUGUUGUUGGUCUCAGAUUGUUGUGGGACAGAC